CCUAACCAUCAUCUACUUGAAAUUUCCCAAUCCCUCCUGAUUCUGAAAGUGAAGCAUGGUUGAGUUUGGUUAGUAUUUGGAUGGAAGAUCAUCAAGGAAUUCCAGAGGUCUGGAUAGGA
rnacentral:rRNA from 1 species